AGUUCGAAGGAUCAGUACGUACCCUGCGAAACCCCAGACGAGAAGUUUAUCAUCUAUACACACAGAAAGAUCUGCUUGGAUAAAAACAAGAAAUGGGAAAUGAUUACAGUGCAGAGCUUCGGGCUGAAAGAGAGAGAAGAAUAAAGCUGGAAAAUAAACAUGAAGAACAAAUGGAAAGUAGAAGACGUGAAGAGCUUCAAGCUGAAAGAGCACUUCAGGCUGAAAAAGAGAGAAGAAUAAAGCUGGAAAAUAAACAUGAAGAACAAAUGGAAAGUAGAAG